GGACAACCUGCCCUGAGGACUGGAAUAAUCCCGGGAAACUGGGGGUAAUUCCAGAUAUGUCAGGGAACCUGGAAUGGGUUCUGGCAGAAAGGCUCCGGCGCCUCAGGAUGGGUCUGCGGCCUAUCAGGGUAGUAGUGGGUGUAACGUACCUACUAGCCUACGACGGGUACGGGUUGUGAGAGCAAGAGCCCGGAGAUGGAUUCUGAGACAUGAAUCCAGGCCCUACGGGGUGCAGCAGGCGCGAAAACUUUACAAUGCGGGCAACCGCGAUAAGGGGACCUCGAGUGCUGGGUUACAAACCUGGCUGUUGGGCUGCCUAAAAAGCAGUCUAUAGCAAGGGCCGGGCAAGACCGGUGCCAGCCGCCGCGGUAACACCGGCGGCUCGAGUGGUAACCGCUAUUAUUGGGUCUAAAGGGUUUGUAGCCGGCCGACUAAGUCUCUUGGGAAAUCUGGCAUCUCAAGUGUCAGGCUGCCAGGGGAUACUGGUCGGCUUGGGACCGGGAGAGGUGAGAGGUACCUCGGGGGUAGGGGUGAAAUCUUGUAAUCCUCGAGGGACCACCAGUGGCGAAGGCGUCUCACCAGAACGGAUCCGACGGCAAGGGACGAAAGCUAGGGGCACGAACCGGAUUAGAUACCCGGGUAGUCCUAGCCGUAAACGAUACUCGCUAGGUGUCGGCCACGGUGCGACCGUGGUCGGUGCCGUAGGGAAGCCGUGAAGCGAGCCACCUGGGAAGUACGGCCGCAAGGCUGAAACU
rnacentral:rRNA from 1 species